rnacentral:rRNA from 1 species
CGUCACUCGUGGUACUUGUAUUGUCUUGUCUUGUUUCGAGUCGGGUCAAAACCUGCACGGAACGCAUGUUUUAAGUAAAGUAAGAGUAACCUCGACGAUUGUUUCAGGCCGGGCACGAAUAAAACUAUACUCGCCAACCUCCUUAAUGUGUAUCGUUAUUAUCUGUAAAUUUGUAUUAUCAUCAUUAUUAUCCCGAAUCCUCAAAAUGCCCACUAGUACCUCCGCCACCUCUUGACCCUUGCUUCUUCCCUAAUGUAAUGAUGUACGGCCACCACCAGCCGAGCCUCAAGCAGCAGGUAGGUGGAGAAGUGCGGUCUGCCUGCCUUGGUGGGCAUCGGGCUAGCUAGCAUCGGCCAGCGACGUUAAGUCGCGAGUGACUGUACUGUAAAUCGAAGAAGAAGAAGUUCACGCACGCACGCACGCAAGCGGCCUCUCGGCCCCGCCGGCGGCCCCGACACAACAGGAGGUACGAGUGCUACACAUGAAUGUCGCAAGUUUUGAGCGCUCUAGUGCCGGGCCGGUCCGCGGUACGGCUCCACCGCUAGUCGCCCGCGCACACGGUGGGGUCGCAGUCCGUCGGAAGGAAGAGGAGGUGGAACAUCGGCAGCGGCGGCCGCUUCUCGCGGUCGUCGCACGAGCGGACGAACAUCCGUAACCUCGGGUCCACCUGCCAGAGCUUGGGCCGCAACGGGUCGGCCAAGGCGGUGACCGGGUCGCAGAGCACCGCGAGACACGCGAGGCGGGGGAGCGUCCGGUGGUGCAACGUCUAGACGGCCGGCUCCAUGUGGAGCCUGUACUGGACCAGGCACGGCCGCCGCCGUCCUCGUCGUCGUCGGGGGCUACUCUGAAGCCUACCCGGCGGCGGCCUCGACGGCGGGAGCUCCCUUAGCUUGUACCACCUCAUCAUCACGUCUCUGAGCCACUUCGCCAGGUCCUUACACGGCCUCAACACUAAGCGGAGGACGAGGUGGUGCCACUGCUAGGACCCGGCGUGCCGCGCGUGCCACGGGUCCUGGAAGAGGUCCCGCGGCCCGACGCGCUCGUCGGCCACGUAGAGCUUCUGACUCAACUGCCGCUAAUGGAGCCCGAGGAGCAAGCCCAGGAGGAGCGGGAGGCCGACGUCGUACUUGCCGAGGUCCAGGCGCUCGCACCGCCGCUGCUCCGGCGCCAUGACCUUCAGCUGCGCCUACCACACGCGCUUGACCCGCUCGAAGGUCGGGUGGACGACGUCCCGCAGCCAGAGCAGGCCGACGCCCCCCGGCUGCGGCCACUCCGCCUUGCUCCCUCCCGGCGGCCCUGCCUCCCGCUCCCGGACCUCUUCACGCCCGGUGACGUAGGGGACGAACUACGGCUUCAGCUGCUGCACGUGCGCCGCCGUCGGCCGCUUGCGGAGGUCCUACCGGACCAACCGCCACUUCACGCGCUUGAACUCCAUCCCCGUCCUGAGCAUCUUCACGCGCACCUCCUCCAGCCGCUUCCGCCGCAGCUCCUCCCUCGACAGGCCGACGCCCGCCUUCGCCUUCUGCGCCGCCCGCUCCCGGAGCGGCUUCAUCCGCCGCUGGAACGCGUAGCGCGGCGGGACCCUGCGCCGGUCGUUCCCAUAGACGAAGUGGUCGCGGAGGCGCCGCCUCUCCAAGAGGACGACGUGCCGGAGGCGCGUGCGGUCGUCGCGCACGUGGUCGGCUUAGGGCCGGAGGACGCACAGCUGGUGCUGCUGGCCGUCGCGCCCGCAGCGCAACCGGCGCCGGCGCUGGCCGCCCCGUCGGAGGUGGUGUCUCGAGGACCGCGGGGGUGGCUCUCUGCUGCUCCUCCUCCUACUGCUGCUCCACGACGAGGGCGGUCACGCGUAGGCGAACCCUAGGGCGUGCCUCAGCCGCCUGUCCAGCCGGCCGCGGCAGCGCGGCCGGCCCCUCCCCUAGCCGGCGUCGCGCAUCUACGACGACCUCCUCAGCUGCCUCCCGCCCUCUAGCUUCAUCGGCGGCGACGGGCACUGCCACCUCCUCCUCCUUCUUCCUCCUCUACCUCUACCAACCCCACCCUUGACCCUCCUCUUGCUCGCUCGUCUCGUCGCUCG